AUUGAACGCUGGCGGCAGGCCUAACACAUGCAAGUCGAGCGGAUGAAUGGAGCUUGCUCCUGGAUUCAGCGGCGGACGGGUGAGUAAUGCCUAGGAAUCUGCCUGGUAGUGGGGGAUAACGUCCGGAAACGGGCGCUAAUACCGCAUACGUCCUGAGGGAGAAAGUGGGGGAUCUUCGGACCUCACGCUAUCAGAUGAGCCUAGGUCGGAUUAGCUAGUUGGUGGGGUAAAGGCCUACCAAGGCGACGAUCCGUAACUGGUCUGAGAGGAUGAUCAGUCACACUGGAACUGAGACACGGUCCAGACUCCUACGAGAGGCAGCAGUGGGGAAUAUUGGACGAUGGGCGAAAGCCUGAUCCAGCCAUGCCGCGAGUGUGAAGAAGGUCUUCGGAGUGUAAAGCACUUUAAGUUGGGAGGAAGAGCAGUAAGUUAAUACCUUGCUGUUUUGACGGUACCAACAGAAUAAGCACCGGCUAACUUCGUG
rnacentral:rRNA from 1 species